AUGGCAAAUUCUUCUCCACGGCGCGCGUUGUCGACGCGGGCGUGUCCUCCGAGAGAACACCGCUGCGUUGCUCUACUUCUGGACCGUAGGAUGUCGGUCCGGCGCCAGGGGUACGGCACGCGCGUCGACGCCCGGCGAGAGCGUAGUGGGCACAGCCUCAUAGGUGUGCCGUUCUCGCCUAGGCAUCGACACAAGGACGCGUUGAAGGGAUCGCCGGGGGAAGCACAUGGACGGCAGCCCGGUGGGGAGUCUGGUAUGAAGGGAUCACCGGAGGGCUGCACACGAAGGGCAACCCCGGCGCAUCGUCGCCGGUGGUGA
rnacentral:rRNA from 1 species